UACGGAGGAUGCAAGCGUUAUCCGGAUUUAUUGGGUUUAAAGGGUGCGCAGGCGGAUAGUUAAGUCAGCGGUGAAAUGCCACAGCUCAACUGUGGAGCUGCCGUUGAUACUGGCUGUCUGGAGUACGGACGGCGCCGGCGGAAUGUGCAGUGUAGCGGUGACAUGCUUAGAUAUUGCACAGAACACCGAUCGCGAAGGCAGCUGGCGAGGCCGUUACUGACGCUCAGGCACGAAAGCGUGGGGAGCAAAC
rnacentral:rRNA from 1 species